CUAAGACAAAAUGCCAUCAGCAUUGACCUCCAGCAUAGAAUUACUGCUGUAAACAGCACCCAUCAUUACUCAGUGUUCAGUCAACCAGGACUACGCUUUUGUGGAAGAGCCACUGCAGGUCCUGAAGUUGGACGGAAGAAACCUGCUUCGCGCAGACGUAACGAGGAAAUGUGACGUGUCUGAAACGGUUGCCAUUGGGAUUGCGUACGCCCAGGCUAAAAUCGGCUCUCUACGUCCAUGACGACACCCCAACAUUUUGCGAAUGGGCGGUGAGUGUCAUGCGCUGUUCUGGUCUGGGUGAGGUAAUGCUUUCUCUGAAUUUCUCAGGCCGCUCGACUACGCCACUUCUUGGCCGCCGCCUUAAAUGGCACCCACAUUUUCGAGUGCCAAGAUACCACAUUGAGGGCAGCAUUUCCAGCCUGUUACUUCAGGGCUAA